GAUCACAGCCAACAAUCCUUCUGCAGCAAGAUCCAUCACACCCAGCGAUCUACACUGGAGAACAAGUCAAACUCACUUGUAGCAUUCAAGAGAAGACUUCAAAAUGGCAAUAUUUUUGGCAAAAAGAUUCACAGCAAGUAAACACUGACAACAAUCCCAUUUACACUAUUCAAAAUGCUACAUGCUCUCAACAAGGGAAUUACACUUGUCAAGUAAGAAGGGGAGAGAUGACAUAUACAAAGUCUACAAUAUUGACAAUAAGAGGUAAGUUACAUAUUUUGAUGCAUUUUUACAUGUCCAGAAACAAUGUUAGGAAAAAUGUCAUUUCUGUUAUGCUUGUUUAUCUGUGCAGCUGAAUUAGUAGUAAAUGACAAUAAAAAUAAAUAAGUAUCUUUUUCUUUAGUAUUUAGAUUAUUUUAAAAUUAUAUGAAAGACCAUUAUAAAAUAAAACGUACAUUGUCAAUAUAAAACAUUUUAUAAAUUAUCAUAUUUUAUAUAAUUAUAAAGGAUCACAGCCAACAAUCCUUCUGCAGCAAGAUCCAUCACACCCAGCGAUCUACACUGGAGAACAAGUCAAACUCACUUGUAGCAUUCAAGAGAAGACUUCAAAAUGGCAAUAUUUUUGGCAAAAAGAUUCACAGCAAGUAAACACUGACAACAAUCCCAUUUACACUAUUCAAAAUGCUACAUGCUCUCAACAAGGGAAUUACACUUGUCAAGUAAGAAGGGGAGAGAUGACAUAUACAAAGUCUACAAUAUUGACAAUAAGAGAGCCACCUAAAUUAAAUCUGUCAAUAGAGUCUCAAUGGCAUAUGUUUUACCAAACUGAGAAAGUGACUCUGAAGUGUUCAGUUGAUGAGUCAAAUAAAUGGGGCUAUGAAUGGUUUAAAAAUGGAGGUUUGCUUAAAGAGGAUAAGGACAUUUCCUUUUCUGGAAACACACUUUCCAUCAGCUCAGCAAAAGCGGGUCAUUCAGGACAGUAUACCUGCAGAGGAAAACAUCUGACGAGAACAUCAGUGACUACAAGAGAAACUGAAGCUGUGCAACUUCAUAUUCAGGACAAGAAACCAAAACCAACCAUCACAAAACAUGAGUGGUUUGAAUUCUUCUACACUGAGGAGCGAGUCCAGCUUAAAUGUAACAUGACAGGAGUAGGUUGGGAAUACAAGUGGUAUAAAGACUUAAACUUUCGGAUCACAAAUCCAGAAUUGACCAUCAACGCAGUAUCUCUGACUGACGCUGGUGACUAUUACUGCAAAGCACAGCGAGGAAACUUCUCAGUGGACAGUGAGACUCUACAAGUGCGAGUUCAGAGUGAGUUAGACCCUUCUGUCCAUAUAAAGUACCUUUGCGACCAUCUCAUUAUAACAAAUCAACAAAUUUAAAAUGAUUAGUUAACAUGUUAAAUGGACAGUUUCACCCAAAAUAACAUGACAAUUCUGUCAUCAUUUCACACUCAUGUCAUGUUGUUUUUUCGAUAUGUAUGACUUUCCUCUUAUGUGGAACACAAAAUAUAUUUUGAUAUUAAUUAAAAAAUGCACUAAUUUCUGUCCAUUCUGAAGUCAUUGGGGUCUAAUGUUGUUUUGUACGCCGUUGACUUUCAGAAUGUCUUCAUUAAAGGUAGGGUAGGCGAUUUCGGAAGGCUAGCAAUAGCAAGCUAGCUUUGAAAGCAUAAGAUCCCACCCUUUCUGCAAAUCACUUUCCAAAGCCAUGACUCCUCCAAAACACAUGAACGCUCACAGGCAGUGAAAUGUAACGCUGUCAGUUUACCUCAUGUCUUAUUCACCGGUGAGAAAUUAUUACAGUACAAAGCACAGAAUAUUAAAAAUAAUAAUGCCUUCCAUUUUUGAUAGGUCUGCUCUUGAUUUAUGCUCCUAUGCCUUCCACAGACAAUAUAAAUACAUAUAAAAAUUUAGAAGCAACUUAGUAACUUAGUGAUUGUAAAAACAAUUAUUGAAAUAGCCUGCUAAAUGCAAAAGAACAGCGAAACUUUGUUAACAACCAGAGUAUAGGCUAGGCAAUUUUCAGACACUCUGAAUUAUUUCGCACACAUAUGAAGUGCAAGAGGCAAAAUCAGAAUUUUAACGAUAAAGUUGAUAGAACUGAAAGUUCUAAAAAAAAAAAAAAAAAAAAAAAAGUCAUAGCGUAAGCUAACAUUGACCUCCAUUUGUUCUCGAAUUGACACCCCGUCAAGCGUCAAAGGAGCCAAAGAGGCCAAAGAGGCAAAAUACGC
rnacentral:lncRNA from 1 species